UACGGAGGGUGCAAGCGUUAUCCGGAUUCACUGGGUUUAAAGGGUGCGUAGGCGGGCAGGUAAGUCAGUGGUGAAAUCUCCGGGCUUAACCCGGAAACUGCCGUUGAUACUAUCUGUCUUAAUAUAGUGGAGGUGAGCGGAAUAUGUCAUGUAGCGGUGAAAUGCUUAGAUAUGACAUAGAACACCCAUUGCGAAGGCAGCUCGCUACACUAUCAUUGACGCUGAGGCACGAAAGCGUGGGGAUCAAACAGG
rnacentral:rRNA from 1 species